UGCUAAUUCGUGUAUUCUAUAUUUCUGUUGUUGGAUGUAUAAUGUUCUAAAUAGGAAAAGAAAUGGUGUAAAGAAACUCUAUGAGGUGGACUCUUCAAGAGAGAGUUUACUCUUACUAGGAUCACCUGAAGAAAAAAGAAGGAUUCACAAUAAACAAGGGGAAAAAAGACAAAUGACAGAAAAUGACAGACGACAAAGAAAAUGACAAAAAGAUUAAAAGAUAGCAACUGGAUACAGGCACGUGAACAAGCUAAAAUCCAUGUGUUGGGGGUAAAAAAUCCUCUCAGAUAAAACAGUUAAGAACAAUUACAAGGCAAAUGGAGAAACACAUUUAAAAAUGGUUGAGUUGUUGCAGGGUGUGAUAAAACAAUAAGAAACAGAAUUUUAGGGUUCUUUUUGAUGAUAUUGCUAUUCACCUAUUUCGGUUCUUAUACAUCCUAAAGCUAUCACAUAUUCGGCUUUGAGCCUUCCUGAUGAAGGUAAACCAGACAAGUUUUUGGACGCAUGAUAUUUUGAAAGAGUUGUUUUGAUUUUAUUAAAGAGAGAAUAAAAGAAGAAAAUUUUACAUUUAGGUUUGACUAACAUAUUAAGAUCGAGUGAUGAAUCGAGACAUACAUAAUGCGACUAAAGAUCCUCUUCAACACU